AUUCUCUUUUAUUCUAAUCCAUAUCAAAUUAGAGGGUAUUACUACUCAGUUAUCUUUUAAAUAUACCCAUCCAUCUGGUUUCAUUUUACCUUUCAAAUCUUCAAUUAAUUUUAAGUCUUCUUUUGUAUAAUUUGGCUUUUGGUUUAUGUAUAUAGUUUGAACUUUAC